rnacentral:rRNA from 1 species
AUGCACGCUGGCGGCGUGCCUCAUACAUGCCAGUCGAGCGAACGGACAAGAAGCUUGCUUCUCUGAUGUUAGCGGCGGACGGGUGAGUAACACGUGGAUAACCUACCUAUAAGACUGGGAUAACUUCGGGAAACCGGAGCUAAUACCGGAUAAUAUUUUGAACCGCAUGGUUUAAAAGUGAAAGACGGUCUUGCUGUCACUUAUAGAUGGAUCCGCGCUGCAUUAGCUAGUUGGUAAGGUAACGGCUUACCAAGGCAACGAUGCAUAGCCGACCUGAGAGGGUGAUCGGCCACACUGGAACUGAGACACGGUCCAGACUCCUACGGGAGGCAGCAGUAGGGAAUCUUCCGCAAUGGGCGAAAGCCUGACGGAGCAACGCCGCGUGAGUGAUGAAGGUCUUCGGAUCGUAAAACUCUGUUAUUAGGGAAGAACAUAUGUGUAAGUAACUGUGCACAUCUUGACGGUACCUAAUCAGAAAGCCACGGCUAACUACGUG